UCUAAUGACUUAGCAGCAAGUUUCAAGGGCACUAUAAGAAAGCAAAGCUAGAGACAAAAACAAACUAACUACUUCAAGAUUGACAACUCAAUGUGAAGGAUCACUUUUAUAGAGAAAACUCUAAAAUGAUUCCCAAAGUACUUUGCCUUGUUGCCUUGAUCACUCUGGUGGUCCUCAAUUCGUCUGAAGCUGCUGUUCCAUUUAAGCCUUUGUUUAAAGGCUCUCUGCCAACAGUAAGUCUUCAUUCUCACUGUAACUCUAAUGCAAAGUUCAAUGCACAUUCAGUUGAAUUACAUACUACGACUCUACGUAGUAGAUU